UGGGGAAUAUUGGACAAUGGGCGCAAGCCUGAUCCAGCCAUACCGCGUGGGUGAAGAAGGCCUUCGGGUUGUAAAGCCCUUUUGUUGGGAAAGAAAAGCAGUCGGUUAAUACCCGGUUGUUCUGACGGUACCCAAAGAAUAAGCACCGGCUAACUUCGUGCCAGCAGCCGCGGUAAUACGAAGGGUGCAAGCGUUACUCGGAAUUACUGGGCGUAAAGCGUGCGUAGGUGGUUGUUUAAGUCUGUUGUGAAAGCCCUGGGCUCAACCUGGGAAUUGCAGUGGAUACUGGGCGACUAGAGUGUGGUAGAGGGUAGUGGAAUUCCCGGUGUAGCAGUGAAAUGCGUAGAGAUCGGGAGGAACAUCCAUGGCGAAGGCAGCUACCUGGACCAACACUGACACUGAGGCACGAAAGCGUGGGGAGCAAACAGGAUUAGAUACCCUGGUA
rnacentral:rRNA from 1 species